rnacentral:rRNA from 1 species
GGCGAGGGGAGUGAAAAAGAACCUGAAACCGUGUACGUACAAGCAGUAGGAGCCCCACCACCAAAGCGUUUCGCUUUGCGUGGUGCGCAAAAUGCGUAACGACAGCGCGAUGGACGGUUAACGGAGCGUAAGCGACGUUCAACAUCAAAAAUCAGGCAGUGGAGCGUUUUGGGGUGGGGUGACUGCGUACCUUUUGUAUAAUGGGUCAGCGACUUAUAUUCUGUAGCAAGG